rnacentral:lncRNA from 1 species
UUUUUUUUUUUUUCCUUCUUCUUUUUAGGGCCACACUGGCGGCAUUCAGAGGUUUGCAGGCUAGGGGUCAAAUCGGAGCCACAGCAGCUCCCCUGUGCCACAGCCACACCAGAUUUGAGCCGCAUCUGUGAUCUAUGUCUAUCUCACAGCAACACCAGAUCCCCAACCCACUGAGCGAGGCCAGGGAUCGAACCCGCAUCUUCAUAGACACUGGUCAGAUUCGUUUCCGCUGCGCCACAGCGGGAACUCCAGUCCAGUCCUGUUUUUCGUCAUGGAUGUCUGAGUCCUCUGGUCGCAAGGGGACUGGAUGAAGUCUGUCGCAUCUGGGAAGGGCUGCAUCCGGUGAGAGCCAGGUCGUUUCAAGGGCGCUUCAUCCAGUCGAAGACUGCUGUGCUGAGAGUCUAGUACGGCCUCCACAGAGGGGGAAACAGACAGUGAGAAGGCGCUUGCUGACUGUGUCUUGUGUGGUCGGACAUGGCAGCGCUGCACAGCCGGUGCAAGGCGCCAUAAGCCCUUUCUCGACAGAAACUCCUUCUGUGGCCUCUUUUUAAAAAUUUUUUUAAAAUUACUCAAAUGAAUUUAUCACCUCUGUAGUUGUAUGAUGAUCAUAACAAUCCGAUUUCAUAGGAUUUCCAUCCCACGGCCCAAGCACAUCCCCCCACCCCCCAAACUGUCUCCUCCGGAGACCAUAAGUUUUUCAAUGUCUGUGAGUCAGCAUCUGUUCUGCAAAGAAGUUCAGUCUGUCCUGUUUUCAGAUUCCACAGGUCAGUGAAAGCAUUGGAUGUUCGUGUCUCACUGUAUGGCUGACUUCACUUAGCAUGGUAAUUUCUAGGUCCAUCUGUGUUGCUAAAAAUGUGGGUAUUUCGUUCCUUUUAAUGGCUGAGUCAUAUUCCAUCGUGUAUAUGGACCACAUCGUCUGGAUCCACUCCUCUGUCGAUGGACAUUAAAAAUAUGGAGCGCUUCACGGAUUUGCGUGUCAUCUGUGCGCAGGGGCCAAGCUAAUCUUCUCUGCAUCGUUCCGGUUUUAGUGUAUGUGCUGCCGAAGCGAGCACUGUGGCCUCUUGAUACAAACUCCUUCUGUGGCCUCCUGCCCUAAGGGUAUUGACGGCUGCUGGGGUAGGGGCUUAUUCCCAUCUGCAGUGGCUUUAACGGGGGCAGAGUGUAGCUUCCAGUGUCAGUAGAAUCACAUGCCCAUAAUUCUUUAGGUACGAAGCCUAGCAAUUCGUCUUGUUCAGUGUCUUUCUCGUCAGAGUAUGUGAUGGAGGGAGUUCCCAUUGUGGUGCCGAAGAAACGAAUCUGACUAGAAUCCGUGAGGACGUGGAUCCUUAACCCACUGAGUGAGGCCAGGGAUCGAACCCACAACCUCGUGGUUCCUAGUCGGACUCGUUUCUGCUGCGCCAUCACAGCAACUCCCGAUUUGACUUCUGAUUGUUUCUUCUUGUGUAAUCAUUUCUGCCUCUCCCAGGGUGUCAGAGAGGAGAAGGGGAGAGACUCCCCAUGUUCCCUCAGAGCAGCCCUGUUCCUAUUUAACUCGAAAUUCCGGCCUAAAAUCCAGUUUUCCUUUUAGGUUUCUCCUUCAUAACUUACAGUUCAGUUUCUGAUACCCUGGUUUUCUGCAGUAAAAAGCAGACUUUAGGUUUCUCUACCAGUUGUGGAGUGAACCGGGUAGGGUGGCAGUUAAUCUUGGACUGGCACUGAGUGCUUAAUUGGUGCAGUUGAAGGUUCAUAAUAUUUUUUUCUUUUUUGCUUUUAAGGGCCGCACCCUCGGCAUGUGGAGAUUCCCAGGCUAGGAGGUGAAUCGGAGCUUCGGCUGCUGGCCUGCGCCACAGCCACAGCAACGCAGGAUCUGAGCCACCUCUGCGACCUGCACCACAGCUCAGAGCAACAGCGGAUCCAUGAUCCACCGAGCGAGGCCAGGGGUUGAACCCUCAUCCUCAUGGACACUAAUCAGAUUCAUUUCUGCUGCACCACAGCAGGAACUCCUGAAGUUUCGUAAGUUUUGUAGAUGUCCCUUUUUCGUUCUUUUUAAUGGUUUUGAAAAGUUGGUCAGCCAGUGUAACAGGGGUUUGUGUGUAACAUGGACCAACCUAGAUUGUCUUUUGACUGGAGUAGCGAAACCCUCAUCUGAGCCUUCUAAGGAGUCGGAGUUCAGGAAAGGACCGUCUUGGUGGUUAGAGAAUGAUUCAGGAGGAAUUUCCUUUGUGGCUCAGUGGUUAACGAACCCGACUAGGAUUCGUCAACUAGCUGUGGNNNNNNNNNNNNNNNNNNNNNNNNNNNNNNNNNNNNNNNNNNNAAUGCCACUAAUAGCUGUAUUAACUGACACAGAUCUGAAAACCUGGGCUUGUACAAACAGACGGUUAACUCAGAUUCCUUAGCAGAUCCCAGUGGAUCCUAACUUUGAUCAGGCAACUCCUUAUCUAAGGCCCUGAGUUCUGCUUGGGCAGAGUUCAGCCCUGUCUGCAAUAGGUUUCUCCUCGGAGGGAGCUGUAAUCACUUCUGAUUUUUUUUAUCCUUCUUUACUGGGGAAGAGGGAGCAGGAGGUGGAAGAGUCAGAAGAGAAAAAGAGGUAGUGUCCAUGCCAGGCAGCUGAGGUGGCAGAGGAGGUGCCGAGGGAAGGCAGUGCCAGCGCAGCGGCUCUUUCACGUUCUGACAGUUUCAGCAGUUGCUUGUUGUUUCCUGCAAAGAAGGUGCUCUAUCAGUUCCUCUUUUAGAGGUGUCUAAAUCCCAAUUAAAGUAAGAAUUGCAUUUGGUCUGUUUGAUCUUUUGGCCAGCUUUUUCUGUUUGUGCAGAAAUAUCAAUUUUGGGAUAUCCAGAGAACCCCAAUUUGGCCAUUUUAAGUGGAGAUCUCUUCAUAUAAUUAGGUAGGUGCUUGGAAAUAGGCGCGCCUGAAGUAGCGUACAUGAAUCUGGCUGGGGUGUGUGUUGGAGGUUAGUUUUGUGAUCCUCCUGUGUGUUUGAGAGACUCUCUUUCCUGUUUUAAGCUGACUCUACUGGGGGUAAACAUUUGCUAAUGAAACUGUGGUGAGCAGCGUGUUGCUUGUGGGCUCCACUCCGGGUGUCAGCCUCGUCGUCCGCCCUCUCACGUGGCUCGGUUUCUCCCUUGGGUGAUCUGAGAUCACUGUGGGUGCUCAGAUUACUGACGGAUCAGUUCUUAGGAGUGACCCCCUGGAUGAGCAAGUCCUUCUCUGAUGAGUGGGUUUCCCUUGGAGACACUGCAGGGUAUGAGUCCUCUGCCUCCACCAUUCCUGUAAUUUCGAGGUUGCCUGCGAAAGCUGUAACUGACCAGGAGGGUCUUGUUCUUUUUCUUGGGAGCAGAAGCUCUCAUGUGCUGUCUUCACUUUUAUCCCAACAGAUUCUAUUCAGGCAGCCAAAUUGAGGCAAAGCAUCAGAUCAGUCUCUUACCUGACCCCUCAGCCCAGGCCAAUCAGCCUCCUUCAACUGAGCAAACCCUGGUCCCCCUCAGCCAGCCGCCACCCCAGCGCCUUUUGACUGUGUGGGCAUUACCCAUCAGCAUCUUCCAGCCAGCUUCCCCCGCCCCAAUGUCUGUUACCUCUGUGGGUAUUUUCCUGGUGUCUUUCAACUAGGCCCCCUGCCCGGUACCUUUUAACUGGGACACUAGGUGCCUGGUAAACUCGGGAUCAUAAACCAACACAGGAAAUCUGAGAAACAAGAAGGACACACCCAAAUUUGUUUCGACCCCCCAGUGAGGUGGGAAGGUGCAAGGGGCUCCUGCUGUUACCCAGGCUCUGAUUCCUUGUAAAGUUCAGGCGAAGGAGAGACGUCUGCCAUGGGCCCCUUCGAGGUCGUCAAAACUGCCACCUGAAAAAGGCGCAGCGUGAGAGCCGUGAGUUAAGUUUUAUUUGGGGCAAAAUGAGGACUAAAGCCCGAGAGACAGCCAUUCUGAUGGCUCUGAGAAAAUGCCCCAGAGAGUUCAGGGGUGGGGUGAAUACACGGAGGAUUCUGGUGAGGGUGCGUGCGGUCAGGCACCCAUUUUGGCAGGGGCUUGCUGCUGGUCUCGGGAAAGUCGCUGUUGGUCACAGGGAGCAGAUGCUACCAUUGGGCAUUUCACUGCUUUUCCAGACAAGGAGAUGCAAGCACUGGGGCCACGAAGUCUUCUCGUGGAAGCAUCCGACGCUCUGAAGACCCCUUCGGCCGGUUUUCUCCGGCGCAGAGGCCUCACUCCUGACCUCACCCCCACCUCCUUUUAGGUGAGUUGAAGCUUAGCCGCUUCAGCAGCACAUGACUUUAUCGCUGUAGAGGUAGGUGGCGAGCGUCAGAACUGGAGCGGACAACCUUCAGCCCAGGCCACUAAAACGUUCUGCAUGUCAGCAGUGAGGCUGUUUCAUGUUCUUAUCGUUUGUGCGUUCAUUGGAGCAGCACUUUCAUUUUUAAUUUAUUAUUAUUAUUUUUUGGCUGCCCAGAGGCCUGUGGAGUUCCUGGGUCAGGGAUCAGAUCUGAGCCGCAGUUGAGACCUACGCUGAACGUGUGGCAACUCUGGAUCCUUUAAGCCAACGUGCUGGGCCGGGGUCCACCCCGCGUCCUGUGCUCCAGGGCCGCCGCAGAUCCGGUUGUGCCACAGGGGAAGCUUUUAAUUUCCCUCACAGCUUAGCUGUUUGGUGCAAGAUAACUAGCUUUUGGCCUGUCCUGACUUUCAACAUGAAAUUUAAUCAUUUUUAUUUAGCUUUUGAUUUAAAGAGAGAGAUGUGCAAUUCUUCCUUUUACGUGAACACUUAAGAGGCCGGUGCAGCAUUCUUAAUUGGCCCAACACCAGUAUUGUUUUGUCUCAGGGAAUAGGGAGCCCUGAAGAGAAGCGGGGGCAUGGCUGGUCUCUGGAGCAGUUAGAACUCAUACGGUUUUCUUUGGAGUUCCCGUCGUGGCACAGUGGUUAACGAAUCCGACUAGGAACCAUGAGGUUGCGGGUUCGGUCCCUGCCCUUGCUCAGUGGGUUAACGAUCCGGCGUUGCCGUGAGCUGUGGUGUAGACUGCAGACGCGGCUCGGAUCCCGCGUGGCUGUGGCUCUGGCGUAGGCCGGUGGCAACAGCUCCGAUUCAACCCCUAGCCUGGGAACCUCCAUAUGCCGCGGGAGCGGCCCAAGAAAUAGCAGCAACAACAACAACAACAACAACAACAACAAAAAA